GCAGUGAUUCUGGGUCCUGGCAGCUCUCCUCGGGAGUUCCUGCCUCUUUUCACUGCAGCAAACUGCAGGUUUGAAAAGAGGGACAACAGGGAGUCUCUCACUCCCAGCUUGCAGGCGUUUGGAGAGGCUGUUCUGAGGUUUGGAGCUCACAAGAAGAAGCCUUGUCCACACCUUCAAAGCCUUCAGGAUGCUCGGCUUUCUGCAGAGAAAUCCUUGGGAGUUCACUGUACUUGAACAGUCUUUCCUGCUGGGGAUCAAUAGCCUGGGAACCUGAGAGCAGUACGGACAAUUCAUUCUUCACGCAGUUCAAGAGCUGUGGAGUUAAUCCUGUAUGUGGCACGUUUGCCAAACUAACAGAUGCUUCAGUUUUGCUCUGGCUGCUGCUGGGGAUGAGUAAGUAAAGGUGGGAAACCCUCCCAUCUGCCCAGGAGCCGGCUCAAACGCUGGGCAGGCUGCGGGCACACGGGUAGGGCAUGGUGGCGCUUACAGUGUAAAGCACAUUUUGUGUUUGUUCUGGUGGAACCCCCGGCUCUGUGUGUGCCAGCUCUGCACAGAGGAGCUGAACCCACGCUGACAGGGUCUGGCUGGCACUCAGGCCCUGUGCUGAGCCCAGCGUGGCACUGACCACCAGACCCCUGUGCACCAGGGCAGCAGCAGGAGCGCCCAGGCAAGCGCACCCUCAGUCACUGUGUGCCGGCAAAAGGUAGGGCUGAACUCACUCUGCAGAGCAACUGCGGGAUAAAUAAUUGCAAUCCUUUAGUUAGUCACUGCAAAGAUGCUCCAUAAAUAAUUGCUGAUUUACUGACAGCAAUUUAGUUGGCCUAAGAACCCAAGAUUAAUAACACACUCUGCUUGUUCUCUGGAAUAAUAGCUUAGGUGCCAUUUCUAAACAUUAUAUAUCUUUAUCUUGGACUCUGAUAACUGUCAGCUAAUCCUGACCAGAGGAGCUAAGAAAGUGCAGCUAAAAUGGAGAUUUCUUUCAUCUCAAUAAAUCUCUUUCCCUUACUGCCUUUUUUUUUGCCAUAGUCAGGUUUCUAGUGAGGCAAUCUUAAUUUAUUAGUUUAAUCUGGGAAAUUAGUUGCUGUAGGUUUUGGUUGUACAGAUCAAUGGACAAUAAAAAACAUUUUGACUUGAGUGAGAUUUCUUUUCCUUUUGCAGGGAUGCAAAGAGAAUACUGAAAUAUUUUAGGCCAUUAUUGUUUCAGAGACUAAAAUUCAAAUACUAAUGAAGUAUUUCCCUGAAAUCUCUGCAAUAGCUGUCUGCAACUGUGCAAAGACAACACAUUAAAAGUUUAAAUGAGUAACAAAUGUUAGAAGUUCCCCCUUCCCCCCAAUAUUAUUACAAAUUGUGUUUUUAAGAAAGAAAAAUGGAAGCAUUUUUGAAAGUUUCUAGCUGAUUUGGGAAUCCAAGUCACACUAUUGGUGUCAUGGGACUGAGGCCACAUAGUUGUACCUUCAAAAACAUUUGUUGAAAGUAAUUGGACCGUAGCUGCUACUUGAACAUCUUUCUAGGUCUCAUUUGCAUUUGAGGAGUUAGGGAUAUUUCAAUGUCUGUGCCACCAUGAUUUAGACUUUAAGACCUGUUCAAUGCUUUUUACUGCUUGGCCUUGCAGCUGCCCAGUCACUUAUGAGAGCAGGAUUUAGCUGUUCAAAUCCUUUAGACCUUGUGGUGAUUAGUGCAAUGGCACGAGAAAAAUUAGAGCUGGCUACUUAAACAUGGAGCUAAGUACUCAGCAGCUUAUUACAAAAUGCUCCAUAGGCUAGGCUUGAAUUCAGGGCGAGCAAAAACCACAAAGGUGCUCAGGGUGCUAUUGAACAGGGUCCCGUUGGUGUGCAGAGAAAGUGACCAAGUGCCCUCAUCCUCGUGCAAAUGAACAAAGAUUGUGCAAAUGGAGAAUGACUGUGCAAAUGGAGAAUGACUGUGUUUGCAGGGUAACACAGAGUAUUUACUUCUUUUCCCGUUUCUUUAGUUUAAAACAGAGAUGAAAAUCAGUGACUUGUUUAAUGGGUUGAAAAAUCUCCGCUGCUACUCUGACACUGGACUGCUGUGUACCUUGUGUUGUUUUGCUUCAAGUCAGGGCAUUUUCCCUAAGACAAAAUUUUCUUCAUCAUGGAAUGCAGUAUGAGGUAGAGUUGCACUUCAGAGAUAUAUACCUGGUUACAAAACAUUCGGUUUUUUCACCUCACUGUUUCCAUUUCUCCUGGAGAUGUCCCUUAUGUAUUCAUUAGAGAGAGGAGGGAUCAGUGUGGCACAGAUUUGGAAUAAGACUCACACCAGGAGAUGUGAAAAGACAAUAUCGAGAUACAGAAUGGAAUUCUUUUCACACAUUGUAGACAAAUACUCUGAAGACACAGUAUCUGUUUUUGAUUUUCACAAAUAGUUUUCUUCCUCUUACAUUUCCAUUCUGAAAUUGCAUCUCGGUAAAAAAACCUUGUAUUUUCUCUUUUCUGAAGUGAAAUGGCAUGUACAGCAAACUGCUGUCUUAAACAGUAAUUACUUGCUCAGGACUCCUUGCUGGUAGCUAGUGAACCACAAAUAUAUCCCAAGAGGAACAAUUUGAACAAAAAGUAGCACAACAUUUACUUGAACUCAGCAGCAAACUUUGAUGGAAGAGGGUCUGUGUUUGCUCCCCAAGAACGUUUGAGUGCUUGACCUAAGCACAGAAAUAGGCAGGGAAGCGUGGGGGUGAUUUAUUCCAAUAUUUCUUCUGCCAGAAGCCAAGUUUGAUGCACAUAUUUCUAGUUCAUCAUGAGUUCUAUCAAGGGAGGAAGCAGACCCAACAAGUGACUAAAUAUUUUCUAUCUGGCACUAUGCAUAACCUAUUGCAGUAUUCAAUUUUUGUCAGUCUUCAAUAUUCUUGUAGUUAAUUACAGUUACUUGACUCAUACAACUAAAAAUUACAUGGGAAUGGCAAGCUGUGAACAUUUGUGACAAGAUUUCAGCAGACAGUCUGAGUACCAGUAGUUACUCUGAAGGAGUAAAUAAAUGUCAAUGUCUCAGUCAGCUCCAGAAUAAGAUCUGACAAAAACCCUACUGAAACGACUGGAAGUCUUCCAACAAAUUGACUCCAUUAGACUUCAAAUUGGAGGGUUUGUCUACUAAAAUGGGAUGGUAUUCACUUGUUUGUAUUGUUUGUGGCAUACUAUUAACUAUAAUAUUUUUAUCUUUGAAUACUAUCAAUGAUCAUAUUAAUCCAAAAUGUCUGUUGCCUUCUGGUGAGAGAUCUUUCAAUCCUGAAACUUCCUGUCCUGUAAACACUCAGCACCAAAUUGUGACAGCCUGAUGGCAACUUGUGUUUUUCUGCUUCACUCUGUUUAGCUGGAAGAUAAGUGAGACAAUAAAAUUAAAAGUGAUGAAGAUGUGAGGCAGCCAAAAGAGCUCAGAUUUUCAGAUCAUAAAUGUUAAGGUAUAUUGACAUACUAAUAUAUGCCUAUAUGCACACAAACAUCUCUAGAGUGGCAGGCUUGCAUCUGACCCAGAAUUUGACUUAUAGCUGGGAAACAGGAGUUCAACUGAAAUAGACAACGGAGGUUACAUUAACUCCAUAAAAAAUGUAGGGCCUGACUCAAAAAUCCAGCAUCUUUUCACAGAAGUCAAGUGGCUUUCUCAUUUGUCUGGCCAGCUUCUAUCAAGUUCAUUACUCUCUCUUGAUUAAAUCUUUUCUAAUGACUUCUGCCUGAAUGAGAACAGAGAAAUGGUAGCCAGCAAUCACUGCUCAGACAGACUCUGACAGCAGAGUAUAUGACUCAUUUCUGUUCAGCUGGAUCUCUUUAAUUCUUACUAACUGGGAGGAAAAGGGUUCCAUCAGCAACAGAUAUCCUAAGGGUGUAAAUUCUGGGGGAAACUUUUACUAUGGUAUAGCUGGCAGUAAUUAGAAGACUGGAAAAAUUGUUGCAGGUUUAUCAGGAAUACAUAGAACAGUGAAAAAAGGGAACCAAUGUAGUAAUGUUAAAUAUUUAAGUUGUUACAGCCCAUUUGUCUCACAGAAUUUUUUUAUCUAGAGGAGAACAAAAUGCAACUUUUGCCUCUUUGGUGUUUUUCUCUGAUUGGAGUCUAUGAACAGUUUGGUCUCACCUGAACAUGAGUGACGGGCACCUUUUGGCCAGAGCAGAGUGGCUUACAGGACGAGUACCCUGGUAGGAGCAAUAGGUGCACAGGCUUUUGUGGUGCAGUCAGACUCGCAGUCAAAGUUCUGGGCAAAUGUUCACUGUAUGCAGAGGGUUCUGCUGUGCUCCAGCCCCAGCCCUGGCGUGGUGCUCGUGCCUGUACCCGGCCCUGCCCUGCGCUCACCUCUGCAGGUGCAGGUGUGCCUGCUCCAGGCUGGAUGCUGCAUUUGGGAGCUGUGAGUCUGUCCCAGCAUCACGGGAGCCGAGGGGUUCACCCUCCUGCGGGCAGCAAUCCUGGAGAGAGGGAAGGGAAGGGAAGGGCAGCAGCUCCUGGAGGAACCUGCGCUUACAGGAGACGGAACCUGCUGCCCUUCCCUCAGCCUGGCCUUCCAGGCAGGAGAGGGAAAAUUAUUCCUUUCUCCCCAGGCACCUUUCAUUUCUUAUUUUGCUCUUUUAUCUACUUUUUCUCAUGAGGCUGAUCAUAAAUGUUGUCUUUUCUGACAGAGAACUGGGCUGCUCUGGGCAAGAUAACAAACAUAUGCUCUUUCUGCCACUUCCCUUGUAUAAAAUAACUUUUCUUAUUCUAUUUGCUUUGCUGCCAGUUCUUAUCUGGAAUUUGGAUCAUAAACCAGGACUGUCUUUCUCCAGGACCACGAAAUAAUAUAAUGUCUGGUAAAUUGUGAGCAUUUCUUUUUUAUUUUGUUCUGAAUUUUAUGAUGUUUUAAAAUAAACUUGGUAACUAUUCGCACCCUAUAGAAAAGUCAGAUACAAAAGCCCUUUAUCUUCUUCAUUCUGGCUGCUGUGUUGACUUGUUUUAAAGUGUUGUCUUUGCCUUCUUUAUUGAAAAUUGGCUUUGUCUGGUAAUACUGGUGUGGGUCAAGUUCUGAUCCGAAAGUUUACUGCUGUUAGUACCUUUUGUUGUCAUCAAGAGUGUUAUUUGUAUUUAUAAUAAUAAUGAAUAGCAUGUAAACACUGCACACAAAACUGCUCAGGAGAAUACUUUUCACAGAUUAGGGCAGGGUUUCCUGUUCUGCCUUUAAAUCUCCUGAUAUCUUCAAUUGCUAAAGAGAAGUGGAUUCGUUUUUUGACUGAGAUGCAUCAGGGUUUAGUGCGCUUCUCAUCCAGUGGAUCCAUCAGGACACUCCUGCCCUGCUGUUGCUGCGGUGCUUGGAGCCCUGGAACUGAAAUCCUGGUUGGCUGAGGAGCACAGAGGACAGCGGGACAUUGGGACAGCAGGACAGCGGGACAGCAGGAGAGCAGGACAUUGGGACAGUAGGACACCAGGACAGCGGGACAGCAGGACAUUGGGACACCGGGACAGCGGGACAGCAGGACACCAGCACAGCAGGACACCAGGACACCAGGACAGCGGGACAGCAGGACAGCAGGACAGGGGGGUCUGGGGGCAGCCGAUCCCAGCUGGGGCAGGAGGAGCUGGCUGGGGCCAUUCCCAGCUGCUCUUGGGGAGCUGUGUCAGAGGAGCCCUGGCACAGCCCCCAGGAAGGGCCCUUCUCUGCUCCAGAAUGCCAAUGGAAUUAUUCAUCAGAAAAUCCAUUUUAAGUGCUGCCUCCAGUAGGGGUUUCCAUGGAGACUGCUGACCUUGUAGGAGCAGAAGCAGCCCCUGUCUGGGAAUGGCUGUGCUGGGAUGGGAACACAGCAGAUCACAGCUGUGCCGGUCCCAGGCAGGCUUUAUCCAGAUGUGAGGGGUUUGGGAUCAGUUGUUUCCCUCUUCAGAUAAAUCCUUCAUUUGCUGCACCCCUGAGGGCUGUGAGACAGCAGAGAAACGAAGGUGGGGAGCAGUGGCAAGAAGCAUUGCAGCAAAGGGUGGGCAACAGGGCCUGGCCAGAACUCUCUGGCCUGGAGUGCUAAAGGGUGAAAUAACCUCAAUUAUGGGAGUAGAUUCACCUGCCCGUGCCUGUGCCCACUGCAUGGAGCUGGGAGCAGAGAAUGGGCUCCCUGGAGGGGCAAAUAAUAAUAAUUAUUACUUAUUCUUAGAAAUUCAAACUUGUUCUGUGUGCAGAGGAGCAAUACCUUCUGUAGGAACUGGCAUCUAAGAGCCCCCAAAUCCCUCCCGUGCCAAGCUGAGAGCACAAAAGUAAAUAAAGCAGGCAGAGGUGGUGCUCAGCCAGCAGCUGCCAUUCCAAAGAGCCAGCCAGCCCGGGAGGGAGCUGGAGGCUCUCGGAACAGGAGCCAGAAAGGGCCCAGCAGGUCAGGGCAGGAGAGAGCCUCAGGAGGGCUGGGGGCAGCUCUGGGGGCUGCAAAUUCAGCCAGAACAGCCCUCAGGUGGCCCCAGCCUGUGAUUUAAUUGAUGCCAGUUCACAGCAGUUCAGGAUCUGCUCCCCAGUGCCUGGAGAGGAGGUUCUGAGCAGAGCUCUUGGCCAAGGAUGGAUUUCUGUACAUGAAUGUUUACAAAUGAGCUGCUGACCCCCGGGCUUUAGAGAUAGCCACAAAUUCUGUUUCUCACAGAGCCUCAGUCCCCCAGCCAGGCACAGCAGCCCUGAGCCCACGUUACAGGAGAAAAGGAAAAUGCAGAUUGCAGAGAGGGACAUUUACAGUGUCUGAGGUAAGUUCUGGCAAGACCAGGUAAGAAAGGCCUGAGGAGUUAAAUGAACUGAAAAGGUAUUUAUGGGAAGGGAAGUAAUCUGCUUUACAGAAUGUAGAGGGGAGCAAGACCUGUGAACAUAUUUGAUUGCCAGGAACAGAGCCCAGCUGCCUUUCACAUCCCAGACAAACACAAUUUGAGUUGCAAUUGCUUUCAUUUUAUAAAAGCCACCAUCUGUAGGGAGAGAAAGCAGAAGGUCAAAGUGGAGGUAACAUAACCUCUCCCCUGUGCCAGUCCCAAAAAUUAUUCCUGCAAAAGCACCAACCUGUAGACCAUGUAGGAGGCAAUUGCCUGCAUUUUGUGACAUCUGUUCUAGCUUCACCUGAAUAGAUAAUGCCAGAUAGUGAAACAGAGAACUUAGGGGAAUGACUGCACAAGUGAUGAAAAAGAAAAUUGUUCUUAAAGGAUUGUGGGAGGCAUCUAGUGGUGGUGAUGCACUUAAAGAAUGUUAAUUGCCAAAUAGAUAACUGGAAUUUGAGAGUUUGAAAUGUGCUUGUUUUUAAAGGCCAUGAAAGGUCAGCUCUGAGUUCUUCCUUUCUCCCUGGGAAGGUGCAAUGUCUCACAAAUUACAGUACACAGAAAGAAAGCAGAUUUGAGCUGUUUUGUGCUUCCCAGUGUGCAUUUCUUGUGGCGUCAUUACUGAGGCUGUUAUCUGAAAAAAUAGCUCUAUUAAAUGAAAGGCUCUGAUAUGGAGAA